rnacentral:misc_RNA from 1 species
AACCUUAUGGACCUGCGGGCGUAUACCUGCGGAAGGAUCAUUAUUGAGUUUUGAAGUGGGCUUGAUGCUGGCGCCUUCACGGUGCAUGUGCUCAGCCCCGCUCUCAAAUCCACUCUACACCUGUGCACUUUCAAAGUCUGUGGUCCUCCGUAAUGGGAGUCGCAAGUCUUAACUGACUUGUUGGGACCGCGCUUUGCCCUUUAUCACAAACUAUAUGCAUUGUCUUGUAGAAUGUCUAGC